GCAUCCAUGGGAGCAACAGCAAGGAGAACGGUCAGCACUGCGCUUCAAGGGUUUCCCGAAAUACCGUUGCUUCCCUCGAGCUCACCAGCAGAGCACUCGUCAUCCAAGAACAGGGUAACUGGGAGACUUCACGUCUUUUUAGUAAAGGAAACCAACCCUACGCCUCAGCCCUGACCGUCUGGCAAACUCCGGGGAAAUUUCACGGUUUGAACUAACGACGAAGCAGAACGAAAUAACCGAGUAUCUCAAGCCUAUUUUUGCCUAAUAGAUGCAAGAGCGUUUUCUGAACUUCUUUAUGUUGGGACCGUCAUUUAUAUUUUGCAAAGGAGGCGUUUCAGCGAUUCUGUAUCAGUCUAUCCAGGAGCCAGCCAGGCUUGAAACGGGGAGAAGAAAAUGAGUUUGUAGGAAGAGAUUAAAGAAUUUUCUAUGCCACCAAGGGAGAAAGCUGCACCAUUAUCUGCAUUCCUUGCAUAAUCCCUGCUAACUGAGCAAAGAGACAUCUUUUAAAGUGAUGACACCCAGGACCUCCUGGUCUCAGAUCACUGGCAGGUGAUCUUCCAAGCCAUGAAAUGAAGAUUCUUCACGUCUGGAUGCAGUACUGAUCCUUGCUCUCUGGCAAGAUAAGUUGGGAUGGUUGGGUAGAGGCAGAUGCCUAACCUUUGGUCAUGGCUAGCAGAGUGGAGAACCAGGCUUGUUAAGGCCACCAGGGAGUGAUGAAGAUGCAAUCUGCUUCCUCUCUGAUCUUGUGUAGAACUGUUAGUAUGAGUGGUAGUGGAGAAAACAUGUAUAGCAGUUCCUUGCUCCAAGACAGAAGCACAUCUCCCAAGGAGUUGCAUCCUUGGACUGCUCCGCUGCAGAACUGUGUGCAUUGUUUGUUUUCCUCAGUGGCAAAAAUGUCUACAUGUGGAUGAUCCCAUCUGUUGAAGACGCCCUGCACCACUGCGUGGUCCAAUGUCCGUUUGUGGGAUAUUUGUUGUGUCUGACUAAAGGAGUCUGCCCAUAUAUUUCCCUUCCUUGCAAUGUGUACUGCAGAAGGCCAGAUCUGAUGAUGGAGGUACCACAUCCAGAUACUGAUGGCUAGGUGUGACAAUGCUGGAAAGUGUGUGCCCCCCUCAUGGUUCAGAUAUGACAUGGUGGUCACACUGUCUGUCAUAGCCUGCACCGAAUGGCCUGUUAGCAGUGGCCAUUUCAUCUGAAGGUGUGCUAGAGAUAGGAUGCUGGUAGUGGAUGCCAUGAACCUCAGCAUCUUUUGUAUGGACUGCACUGGAUGAGUGUGUGAUGUUAAGAUCUUGUGGGCCAUGACCCUGAUAUCUGCUAUCCUGAAGGAAGGCAAGGAUGCAAGAAUCUCCUGGGAAUCUAGAAUGGUGCCCCAAAACUCUAUGGUCCUUUAGGGAGCAAAUGUUGACUUCUCCCAGUUCACGCAUAAUCCUAGCUUGCCUAGAAGGGUCAACAUGGGAUGGAUAUGUUGAUGCAACUUCUCUUUGGUUCUGGCCACUAAGGGCCAGUUGUCUAAAAAAGGUAUAGACAGAGAUGACCUGUUGGCAGUAGUGUGCAACCAUCACUGCCAUCCACUGGGAAGGACUCUAGCUUCAGUGGACAAACCAAAGGGACAGACCAAUACCUUGUAUUGGUAAGUUCUCUUCCCACUGCAGAAGCGUAGGUACUGUCUAUAGUGUGGCCAAAUAGAAAUAUGAAAAUAGGUGUCUUUAAAGUCUAUUACCACAAACCAGUCACUGUGAAAACAGAAGCUGUAAGAUCUGGGUGAGACUUGUCAUAUGGGACCGAUGAAAGCAAAUAAAACUGUUGAAGCCAUGAAAAUCUAGAAUGGGCCUCAGGCCUUCAUCUCAUCUUGGGAGCACAAAGUACCUUGAGUAAAAACCCCUGGCUGUGUUGGUGCACACUGGUUGAAAGGCGCCUUUCUUGAUAAGGGAUCAAACUUCCCUGUUGUAGGACAGGGUAGAUUGUGUACAACGUGUUCCCCCAAAGGGUGGAAGUGUAUGGAACUCUACUGUAAAUCCCAAUCAAAUUAUAGUAAUCACCCACUGGUCCGUAGUAAUUGCUCACCAUGCUUCUGCGAAAGGGAGGAAUCUUGAGCCAGUCAUUGUGUAAGGCCCUUUUAUCAUAGGCUGGCUUGGACUUAGGAGUGGUUUUCUGUGAUGGUGUAGUUGACUUGCAAAAGGAACUGUAAGGUUAAUACCUGUUCCUUCUGAGAUCAUGAUGGCGGAAUGGUUGGUAGGAUGAUCUUUGUUGAGAGUGUUGGGUCAAGGGUAUUGCUUAACUGGACUUUGCUGAUAUGGCCACGUGUGUUUUCAUAGUGCCACUGUUGCCGCCAUUGCCCUAGAACCACAGUCUGCCUUGUGGCAUGCAGAGUGCCGUUGUUGCUUGUUGGUCUGUAAGCCUACAGAUAAAAAGGUCAUCGCUGCAUCCUUUUGGUCCUGUUGAAACUGUCAGAUGAAAGGUUCAAGUUUUUAAAAGAGAAAAUGGGUAUACUUAGCCAUACACCCCUAAUAGUUUGAUAUGUGUACUUGAAGGCUUGCUCUGGCAUAUAUCCAUUUACCAAACAAAUCUAGUUUUUUCCAAUCGUGAUCUGAUGGUGCAGAUCAUAACUUCUGUUUCGCCCCUUGCUGAGAAGAUUCAACCCAAAUACUGAGUUAGGUUUGGGAUGCAAAAACAGGUAGGGCACAUCACUUUGGCGUACUCUAUAGAGGUUUUUCUAAUUUCUUUGAAGUUGAGAAGAUUCAAAAGUGGUAAGGGUAGUGGUCCUGCAGAUGCAGCCUGAAUAAGGUCAAACACAGGACCUGCAGUCUUAUAUUUGCUGUGUCUCUAAGCCCAAGGCUGACACCAUAUGCUGGACCUGUUCAGAGUGUGUUCUAUAAUCCUCAGGAGGGGACUGGUUCUUAUCUGCAUCCAGAUAAUCAGCUGAGGAUUGGUCUGGGUCCUUGUUUACACAGGACACAACAUCAUCCUCAGAGUCUGAGGCAGAUAAAAAACCCCAUGGGGCAUCAGCCUUUGUAUCUGGCACAGCCUUGACUGGUUGUGGUAGCACUCCAUGCUAUGUGACUGGCUGUUUUUUUAGUAAACCCUUUCUGUUUUGUCUCAGGUUUGGGUGUCUUAUUUUCCUAUUAAAGGAAGGAGAGUGGGAAAUAAAGUGUUAUAUUAACACAAGUAGUGACCAUUCACAUGCAAACCAGGGUGAGCCUGCCCAGCAAAAGGGACAACCCAUACUUGUUGCCACAAGACCACCUCUCCUCCCAGCUGUAUUUGGACCUAUGGCACCUUGGGCUAUGACUGUAGUGGUAAGCCCUGUCCCUCUUUUCAGGUCCCAAAUAACUGUGCCCAAGGUGAUAUAGCGCAGACCUGGGUUCUUCCCACAAUGCAUAUAUUCAUAAUGUGGUCUGUGGCUGUCAUAAGUGUAAUAUUUUGAGAAGGCUCUCUAGUGAGGUCCAUGCAAGUAAAAAGUCCUCUUGCUCUCCCUCUCCAGCUCUCCAAACCUGGGAUGCUUGCUCUUACUGUGUUGCUUCUUCACCCCAGCUUGAAGCCUACUCUGGGAAGAGCAGGAGCAGCUUCACGAGCUAUAAAAUCAUCAGCUGCAUCACAGAAGGAAAAUAGAAUGUUACAGUUCUUCCUCCUUCAGCUUACAGUCCAGCUCUUCUAGGAAAGAAUUUCAAACAGCUGCCAUGCAACAAAGCAACCAAAGGAUUCCAAGUUCACCACUGCAACCUGCUGAUUAAUUGUGUAACAAAAUUUAAACACAAUUCAACUUAUUAAGGCCAAAUAUAAUAAACUGUGUGUAACACACAGGCACAUUCCAUAAUCAUAAUUGUAUAAGCAUAUUGGUUAGCAUGUCGCAUGCAGGUCAGCAUGCUCAAGUCAUAGGAUUUAGCAAUAGCAAUAGCAAUAGCACUUACAUUUAUACACCGCUCUAUAGCUGGAGCUCUCUAAGCGGUUUACAAUGAUUUAGCAUAUUGCCCCCAACAUUCUGGGUACUCAUUUUACCGACCUCGGAAGGAUGGAAGGCUGAGUCAACCUUGAGCCCCUGGUCAGGAUCGAACUUGUAACCUUCUGGUUACAGGGUGGCAGUUUUACCACUGCGCCACCAGGGGCUCUUGCAACUUGACCAAAAGGGUGAUUUUUGUUUGUUAUAUCAUAGAGGAAAUGACAGGAUAUAAUUUACCAUUAGACCCACUAAUUGUUUUCCUUAGAGAUAUUAGAAUUAUUGUUUUAAUGGCAGAUUGGGAAUUAGUCGUUCAUUUAUUGAUAGCACUAAGGCCGUCAAUUAGCAGAAAUUGGGAAAAAAUUAAGACCCACUGACUUGAAACAAAUGAUUAAACAAAAUAUGCCAAUUAUAAUGAAACUGAUGAAUUAAAUUAGAACAAUGGAAGGAAGACAACCAGAUGAUCCUGUGUUCAAGUGGUCUCUUUUUAGAAAUUACUGAAACAAUAAUAGACAGGAUAAUGUGAAUCCAUUUGCUUUGUUGGAGAACAAUUUAAAAAGAGGUGGGAACUGAGUUUAGGCAAAAGAGUCAUUAUGUAUAUUGUAUAAUUGUCUAUUAAUGGCUUAAUAUUUUAUGGCAUAAUUUAAAUAAACUGUUUUGUUGUAAUGUUAAGAAGCUGCUUUUAAUGAAUAUUUUGUUGAUAGUAAGAACAUAAGAACAGCCCUACUUGAUCAGGCCCAAGGCCUAUCUAGUCCCACAUCCUGUUUCAUACAGUGUGGCCCACCAGAUGCCUCUGGGCAGCCAACAGGCAGGACUUGCCACACUGUAAUCAUUAACAUCUUCCCCUUUUUAACACUCUAUGGCAGGGCUAUUUGUUCCCUUGAGGUCAUCUCCCAAGUAAGCCCGGGGGCCUUACAAGCCCUCUCCUACAGCCCAAGCUCUCUCCACAGGUCAUUGUUCUUGGCCUUAGGCAUUCCUUGUCUGCAAAGCCUACUGCUGCAUCAGAUGCCUGGACCAGUACCCUUCCCCAGACUAAUCCGGGAGUGGAGGGAGCAGCUGGAGAUUUGCCAAGUGGCUGAUUGCCAAGUAGAAUAGAAGAGUGGUUCGGACUUCCAGGGAAUGCAGAGCCUUUUCAAGAGGUGCGCUCGAAGAGCUGAAGAAGGUCCGUAUGCCGAACCGUCAUCUUGCAGGAGGCUAUAAGGCUCAGGAGGCAUUGAAUCUGCCUUGCAGUUAUCUCGG